UCUUUUUUAAUCAUAAUUUUCUUCCUUCAUUCCUGCUGACAGUUGGGGCAGAGACUGUCAUACGCUCUGGGUAACACUCACAGCCAGAUGCCGCGCUACAGUGAAAGAUUUACAAAUGUGACAAAAGGUCUUCUGUUUGUCCAUUAAUUCCUACAUAGAGUUUUAAUCCCGUUUACAUGAAAAGCUGUACUUAUUGUGUCCCUGACUAUUCCAAAUUUCUUUUUGCAGCAAACUGACAAACCGAAUAAGCCCAGGACACUGGAAAAUACUUGAAAAACAUGUGAGUUGGAGGGAUUUGACAAAAACAUCCUUUUAGAAAUGCGUGAGGAAGGUCAAGACUCUGGUCUCCAGCUCACCGCUCUCUGUUACAUUUCCAUGGCCAUGUUGUCCGAUAGUAUUAUUGGAUUUUUCUAUACUAUAGUUUUUUAUGUUUAAUUAUUGCACGCUAUAUAAAUUGUUAUAAUAGUUUAUUUUUCCUUUUGAUGUGUGUGUGCUUAAAAGUAUUAAAUAUGAGUAAUAGCAAAUACAGUUUCCUCAGUAAUGUAUUUCAUGAAAUGAUAUUUUCCCAACAAAACCCAUGUUUGCAUUCAAGUCUCUUAUGGUUUGUACAUAAUAUUUGCAACAAUUGUAAAUAUUUUGCAGAAUAUGUACUACAAGCCUCUGCAGUUGCAGCCGCACCCAUAUCCAAAUUCAUAUAUGAUAUAUUUGUAUAUGUGUGUUUCAACAUUCCUAAAAACCCUUAGGUUACAUAAUAUAUCCAAAUAUAGGGAAUUUCAGUAUGAGUCCUGAUGUAUUAUCCAUAAUGCUGUACUUGCCCUACACACGGUGAGUUUGUAAUAGAAUCUUAGCCAGUCAUUACUGAGUAGUUGUCACGUGUUGAAC